UACGUAGGGUGCAAGCGUUGUCCGGAAUUAUUGGGCGUAAAGAGCUCGUAGGCGGUCUGUCGCGUCGGCUGUGAAAUCCCGGAGCUCAACUCCGGGUCUGCAGUCGAUACGGGCAAACUGGAGUACUGCAGGGGAGACUGGAAUUCCUGGUGUAGCGGUGAAAUGCGUAGAGAUCGGGAGGAACACCAGUGGCGAAGGCGGCUACCUGGACCAGCACUGACACUGAGGCACGAAAGCGUGGGGAGCAACAGG
rnacentral:rRNA from 1 species